rnacentral:lncRNA from 1 species
GAAAAAGCACUGGGAACUAAAGAUGCCUUUAAACUGAGAGGGCUACUCAGCAGGGAUCCAGGAUUUCAAAUCUCUGCCAGGAAGUGGCUUCAGACGCUUGAAGCCUGAAGAUGGAAAAUCCUAACCCUUGGUUUUGCUUCAGGUUCCAGCAAGUAGGAACAGAGUUCCCAUAAAAUGAAGCUAAGGUCACUGGCAGAGUGCAAUGGGUUAAACUGACAUGACCGGAAUUGGACAGUGAGCACUGCUGGCCCCAUCUCGGAAACGAGAGUGGACCAGGAGGAGUUUUCAGAGGAGUCUGUGAUAGGCGCUUUGUGACUCCAGGACACGUUGAGUAUACGUGAUUGAUGAAACCAAUGGUACAUCUGGAACACUGGCUGAAAUGAAGAAUGGAAAAUGUUAGCUUUCCAGGCCUCCUCAGGCCAGGAAGGCAUACUGGAGAGAUACGGCAGCAGAGUCACACAAGCAAGGCAGCUGGAUUUGUGACAAUGAGAGAAGCGCGGGGUCAAAGAACAUAGAGUGUUUUGAGAACAGUGUCUCCAGAUGAGAGGGAAGAGAACUGAGCAGGAAGCUAAAGAACUGGCGCCAGAAAACCACUCCCAGGAUGCCUACUUUUCAUGCUGCGUGUUUUCAUGUCAAUACCUCUUCCUGUGGCUUUAAGAUUGGAACUAUUUAAAAAAUGUCACUGUCAAUUACAUGCAAACCUUAUUGUGGUUAGUCU